GGAUGGAGACUCAUUCCCUGUUUUGAACUCUUCUAGAAUAGUCUACACAGAGUGAAUCAUGAAUUGGCCACCAGGUGUUACAUUCGUCAUCCUGUAAAAGGGAAGUCUGACUGCAGCCAUCCCCACUGAAGCCCUCCUGCUCCUGUAUCUCUCUCAUCUUAUUCUCCAGUUAUCUUUAAAAUCAACCCCUCUGGAAUCUAUUCUUCAUGGCACGAGGAAAAUGCUGAUGAGCCGAGGAUUGUGUUUCCGCAAAUGGCUCUCGUGCUCGACCCCAAGGACAAUGAGACAAACAGACCCAGUUCCAGUAAAUGUGAAGGUUGGAACACAUCUGAUCUACUGGGCGUCCUUCAACGUGAUACCCAGCUGAUGCCUGACCAAUGACCACCGGCAGAACCCGCUUAAUCUCCUUUUUUCAUUUACAUAUAAGGGUUUAUUCCUCCUAGGAGUUUUCCCCUGGCUAAAAAGUCAAGAGGUUUUUCUCCUAGGGUUUUUUUCAACCCGGUAGUCAGCCAUCAUUG